UAAUAUUCAGGAGGUAUGGGCUCUCUCUACCGCCGUUAAUACUCACGUUUUCUGCAUUAUUUCUGUAUCAGUAUAUAGUGUAGACCCUGUUCACUUCCGGAAACCAUAAAAAAUAAAAAUAAAAAAUACAAAAAAAAAAUUAUUCCUGGACCCCGAGAGACAUACACCCUCCCUUUAUCACAUACCGCGCAUGACUGAUUGUCGCAGAAGCAGUGCCACGGCCUCGGGCUGGUUUGCCGUUAAGCAGUACGUAAGUAGUGUUCAACGUACACCAGUCGGGACAAUUAGGAUAGGUUAGGUUAGGUUAGGUUAGGUUAGGUUAGGUUAGGUUAGGUUAGGUUAGGUUAGGUUAGGUUAGGUUAGGUUAGGCACAAACUAUUUUUUUCUGGGUAAUUUGUGGUGUUUUUUUCAUGUGGAGAUGGUUUUUUUCCGGAAAUAUUAGGAUUGUGACUUGAUCAAGAAAAUUGAAAUAGCCCCUUUCCUAAUAGUUUCCGGAAAAAAAGACUAUCUCCACUUGAAAAAGCACCACAUUUUACCUAGAAAAAAAUAGUUUGUGCCUGGAAAUUCGAGAGCCCACAUCUCCUGAAUUAUUACCA